UGCAGCCCACUUGCUCCCUCUGGAAUGAACACGGUCGACCUGCAGCGCUGAUCUGAGGUCGCGACCCCCAGCGGAAACAUUCACCACAACAAGGGAGCACGAGGAGGAACGAGGAUCUGGCCUCACUGACCGCGGGGAACCUUCCACUGGAUCCCGGGAACGUGUCAGGACCAACAGGAAGAAAAAAAAGCCUCUGAGCUUCCAGUACUCACUUCCUCCGCAGUAGGAAGCACUGCGACGGCCUCCUGCAGAGAAGAAGACGCCUGUAAUUACUGGCGUCCUUUUGUCCUUGUUGAGGACAACAUAGGAGGGACAUACUGGGCCCUCCCCCAAAAGGAGGACAACAGAAGCUCUGCUAUUGUUGGAGUCGGCGUGCUGCCUCAGCACAGGC
ensembl:lncRNA